GGGACGGUGACUCAGUGGUAGAGCGCUUGCCUUGCAUGCAUGAGGGCCGGGGUUCGAUUCCUCCGCACCA
rnacentral:tRNA from 1 species